UACGUAGGGGGCAAGCGUUGUCCGGAUUUAUUGGGCGUAAAGAGCGUGUAGGCGGCUAGGUAGGUCCGUUGUGAAAACUCGAGGCUCAACCUCGAGACGCCGGCGGAAACCAUCAGGCUAGAGUCCGGAAGAGGAGAGUGGAAUUCCUGGUGUAGCGGUGAAAUGCGCAGAUAUCAGGAAGAACACCCGUGGCUAAGGCGGCUCUCUAGUACGGUACUGACGCUGAGACGCGAAAGCGUGGGGAGCGAACAGG
rnacentral:rRNA from 1 species